AUUGAACGCUGGCGGCAUGCUUUACACAUGCAAGUCGAACGGGCUUAGGUGCUUGCAUCUAAGUUAGUGGCGAACGGGUGAGUAAUGCAUCGGAACGUACCGUGUAGUGGGGGAUAACCCGGCGAAAGUCGGAUUAAUACCGCAUACGAUCUAAGGAUGAAAGCAGGGGAUCGCAAGACCUUGCGCUAUACGAGCGGCCGAUGUCGGAUUAACUAGUUGGUAGGGUAAAGGCCUACCAAGGCAACGAUCCGUAGCGGGUCUGAGAGGAUGAUCCGCCACACUGGGACUGAGACACGGCCCAGACUCCUACGGGAGGCAGCAGUGGGGAAUUUUGGACAAUGGGCGAAAGCCUGAUCCAGCCAUGCCGCGUGAGUGAAGAAGGCCUUCGGGUUGUAAAGCUCUUUUGUCCGGGAGCAAAUCCUGUUCACUAAUACUGAGCGGGGCUGAGAGUACCGGAAGAAUAAGCACCGGCUAACUACGUGCCAGCCGCCGCAGUAAAAC
rnacentral:rRNA from 1 species